UACGGAGGGUGCAAGCGUUAGCCGGAAUCACUGGGUUUAAAGGGUGCGUAGGCGGCUAAAUAAGUCAGAGGUGAAAGCUUGCAGCUUAACUGCGAAAUUGCCUUUGAUACUGUAUAGCUUGAAAGGAGCUGAGGUCAGCAGAAUGUGGCAUGUAGCGGUGAAAUGCAUAGAUAUGCCAUAGAAUACCAAUUGCGAAUGCAGCUGGCUGGGCUUACUUUGACGCUGAGGCACGAAAGCGUGGGGAGCGAACAGG
rnacentral:rRNA from 1 species